AGCAGCCGCGGUAAUUCCAGCUCCAAUAGCGUAUAUUAAAGUUGUUGCAGUUAAAAAGCUCGUAGUUGAAUUUCGGGAUCAGAUUGUUGGUCGUGCCUCGGUACGCACUGGCAUUAUUGGUUUCUCCCUUCUGACGAACCAUGAUGUCAUUAAUUUGGUGUCUUGGGGAAUCAGGACUGUUACUUUGAAAAAUUAGAGUGUUUAAAGCAGGCUCACGCUUGAAUACAUUAGCAUGGAAUAAUGAAAUAGGACGUUUGAUUCUAUUUUGUUGGUUUCUAGGAUCGACGUAAUGAUUAAUAGGGAUAGUUGGGGGCAUUAGUAUUCAAUUGUCAGAGGUGAAAUUCUUGGAUUUAUUGAAGACUAACUACUGCGAAAGCAUUUGCCAAGGAUGUUUUCAUUAAUCAAGAACGAAAGUUAGGGGAUCGAAGACGAUCAGAUACCGUCGUAGUCUUAACCAUAAACUAUGCCGACUAGGGAUCGGAUGAUGUUAAUUUUUAAUGACUCAUUC
rnacentral:rRNA from 1 species